GUAGUUACAUAAGAGAGCAGCUGACUUCUAAUCAGCAGGUUGAGGGUUCGAGUCCUUCC
rnacentral:tRNA from 1 species